AUGUAACCGGACCGUUCGGGCGCCGUAAAACGCAUCUGUUCGGAAAGGGAGAUAUCAUACACCCUGUGUUUAUUUACCUUUGUUGCUUUGGCGGGCCGUCCUUUUAGGCGUCGGCCCCGGCUGAUCGCGCCUGCCAGAGGACCCAAACUCUGAAUGUUAGUGUCGUCUGAGUACUAUACAAUAGUUA
rnacentral:misc_RNA from 1 species